GACGAACGCUGGCGGCGUGCCUAAUACAUGCAAGUAGAACGCACAGUUUAUACCGUAGCUUGCUACACCAUAGACUGUGAGUUGCGAACGGGUGAGUAACGCGUAGGUAACCUGCCUGGUAGCGGGGGAUAACUAUUGGAAACGAUAGCUAAUACCGCAUAAUAUUGAUUAUUGCAUGACAAUUAAUUGAAAGGUGCAAUUGCACCACUACCAGAUGGACCUGCGUUGUAUUAGCUAGUAGGUGAGGUAACGGCUCACCUAGGCGACGAUACAUAGCCGACCUGGGAGGGUGAUCGGCCACACUGGGACUGGGACACGGCCCAGACUCCUACGGGAGGCAGCAGUAGGGAAUCUUCGGCAAUGGACGAAAGUCUGACCGAGCAACGCCGCGUGAGUUAAGAAGGUUUUCGGAUCGUAAAGCUCUGUUGUAAGAGAAGAACGGGUGUGAGAGUGGAAAGUUCACACUGUGACGGUAUCUUACCAGAAAGGGACGGCUAACUACGUG
rnacentral:rRNA from 1 species